rnacentral:rRNA from 1 species
GCUUGCUUCAAUCGAUGGCGACCGGCGCACGGGUGAGUAACACGUAUCCAACCUGCCGAUAACUCGGGGAUAGCCUUUCGAAAGAAAGAUUAAUACCCGAUAGCAUAGUAUUUCCGCAUGGUUUCACUAUUAAAGAAUUUCGGUUAUCGAUGGGGAUGCGUUCCAUUAGAUAGUUGGCGGGGUAACGGCCCACCAAGUCAACGAUGGAUAGGGGUUCUGAGAGGAAGGUCCCCCACAUUGGAACUGAGACACGGUCCAAACUCCUACGGGAGGCAGCAGUGAGGAAUAUUGGUCAAUGGACGAGAGUCUGAACCAGCCAAGUAGCGUGAAGGAUGACUGCCCUAUGGGUUGUAAACUUCUUUUAUACGGGAAUAAAGUGGAGUAUGCAUACUCCUUUGUAUGUACCGUAUGAAUAAGGAUCGGCUAACUCCGUGCCAGCAGCCGCGGUAAUACGGAGGAUCCGAGCGUUAUCCGGAUUUAUUGGGUUUAAAGGGAGCGUAGGCGGGUGCUUAAGUCAGUUGUGAAAGUUUGCGGCUCAACCGUAAAAUUGCAGUUGAUACUGGGCGCCUUGAGUGCAGCAUAGGUAGGCGGAAUUCGUGGUGUAGCGGUGAAAUGCUUAGAUAUCACGAAGAACUCCGAUUGCGAAGGCAGCUUACUGGAC